CACAUUAUUACAUUCCCAUUAUUAAUUUUUUUAUUUCAAGGGUUGAAUGCACGUGGUCCCUCUGGUCCUCUGGUUGCUCCUCUGGGAUCUUCAGUGGUUUUGCGCUGUUUAUGUUGAUGAACUCUUAUCAAUGGAGGAUCUGAAGGUGGAAUGGAGAAGAACAGGCUCAGAGACUCUGGUUCAUCUGUAUCAAGAUGGUCGAGCAGAGUCCCAGCAUCAGGAUUAUCGUGAUAGAGCUCAUUUCUUUACUGAUCAGAUUCAACAUGGAAAGUUCUCCCUCCGUCUGGACAAUCUGACAGCUGAGGAUGAGGGACCAUACACCUGUACAGUUUCAGCUAAAAGUAAUUUGAAACUGAGUGUACUUGCUUCCUCUGGGAUACCUGGUAAGUGAAUACAUAAGAAACAUGAUGAAUAUGCAUGAAUGUGUCAGCUUGGAGACGUCUAGAGAGAGGUCUCUCGUGUCCAGUGGCAGUCUAUCUUUUGUGUUUGUGCUUGUCUGUGCCAACACAUGCAAUUUUAAUGAUUAUAGAAACUAGACUGCUGUAAACAUAUUUAAAGUUAUUACUAUGAUUAUUUAAACAUAAUUAUUUUGUAUUUUCUCUCUAGAUCCUUUACUCUGUCGUCUUCUCUUUCAAGUCUGUCCAAAUAUAAUCAUGUUCCUUGCUUUUGUUUUCUGGGGUGUUUCUGAAGGGUCUCUGAAUGAGUCGGUCUCUUGUUGUGCUCUUUAUUUUCUGAGGCCUAUCGUGUUGCUUUGGGCAGAUCCAUAUGUUAAAGAGUUCACAUACAACAGUAAAAGACGGAUUCUGAAAUAUGGUUAUUUUGCUGAAUAUGUUUCCUUCUCAAUUGUUGUUUAUUCAGCUCUAUUUAAAAGUACUUUGCAAAAAGUUCAGUACUACCCUGAAUUUGACAAAAUUGUUAUAAAAGUCCUGUUUUCAGUAGUGAUUCUUACCUGCUUCUGCAAAAUAAUUUACGUUUUCAUUAUAGAGAUUGGAAUAAAGCGUGGAAGGAAAAUUGAAUUGUUUGACCUUGUGGCUGAUAUGACCUUUGAUAUUGUGCCUACAUUACAAUUCAUCCUCCUGUUCUACACUUUUGCAUCAAUCAGAGGAGCAUUCAUCGUAAUUGUAAUCUUACCAGUGUUACUGAUGAUGACGAACGACAGAUGGACUUUUAGAUGUGGAAGGCUCAAAUGUAAGUAUUUGCUGAAUUCUGAACUGAUUUCGAUUUUAACUGGAUAAUUAUCUCUGUUAUACAGAUGCUUCUCAAUAAAUUAGAAUGAUGAGUAAAAGUUCAUUUAUUUCAGUAAUUUCAACUCAAAUUGUGAAACCCAUAUAUUAAAUAAAUUCAGUGCAUACAGACUGAAGUAGUUUAAGUCUUUGGUACUUUUAAUUGUUAUCAUGUUGGUUUCACAUUGGUUCACAAAACCCACCAAUUCAUCAGUUCAUCUCAGCAAAUUAGAAUACUUCUUUUUUGGCCUUCUGGAAAGUAUGUUAAUUUUGUGUACAUGUACUCAAUACUUGGUAGAGGCUCCUUUUGCUUUAAUUACUGCCUUAAUUCUGCGUGGCAUGGAGGUGAUCAGUUUGUGGCACUGCUGAGGUGGUCUGGAAGCCCAGGUUUCUUUGACAGUGACCUUCAGCUCAUCUUCAUUGUUUGGUUUCUUGUUUGUCAUUUUCCUCUUGACCAUACCCCAUAGAUUCUCUCUGGGGUUCAGGUCUGGUGAGUUUUCUGGCCAGUCAAGCACACCAAUACCAUGAACAUUAAACCAACUUUUGGUGCUUUUGGCAGUGUUGGCAGGUGCCAAAUCCUGCUGGAAAUUAGAUCAGCAGUGCUGGGAGAAUUACAGUAAUAUGACUUACUACGGGGCCAUUGAAUGCUUGAAUCUGAUUAAUGUUCUGAGGUUGACGCAGAUGAACGUUCUGAGGUUUGCAAUUAUUUUCUGGGAAAUGCACGGAAUUACAUUUCCAUAACACUUUAAAACUGUAAUGACGGAAAUUACAGAACUAAACAAACAACAUUAUCAUCAUGACACGAUUUUCUGAAAGUAAAUACACAUGACAUUUCUCACUAAUAACAGUGCUGUUUAGAGACGCUGCUGCAGAACACUGUUGAGGGACGCAAAGAGGAAGCCUAAUUCACACAAGCUCUCUCUCUCUCUCUCUCUCUCUCUCUCUCUCUCUCUCUCUCUCUCUCUGUGUGUGUGUGUGUGUGUGUGUCUCGGUCUCUCUCACCCUCUAAUAACUUCAUUAAUAACUGCAUUAGAAUGAUAUCAACGGCUCAAGCCUCCAUUACCAGCCUUUAAAAUUAAGUUUUGAAACCAGCUAAGGAGGCAUUGGAUAAGAUGCGGAAGAAAUAAUCCUACUCACAAUAGCGAUUUAAGUACAAAACCGGAAAAAUCAUUUUAAAUAUGUCAUCUGAUCAAUGUGUUGAGGUGUGGUAGCGGCAUAAUUGACUCUGGGCCACCUAGUGUCAUGACACCUCGGGUGUGCAUUAUUUUUCUAAUAAUUCAACCGCCCGUCGUCAAUUAUUCCUUACUUUUUACAGGAAUAUAAUUUGCUUGUGGUGAAUCCUUAGCUCUUAGGUAGUAACUUGUACAUGUAAUAUAUUGCAAAAUGUAAGUUCUUGUAAUUAGAUACUCCAUUUUAAAAUACUCAGACUACUACUUUUUAUUGAUUACUUAUUCACAAUAUGGCAGUAAAUUGUUCAUAAUUUAAAUCAUGAUGAUAGAUUCAGAUGUUUUGCUGUUUUCAGAUCACCUUUAAAUUGAUUGCCAUUUUCCAUUUUAUCCCUGAUCAGUCAGUAUGAAAGUGUUAUUCAUUAAAACAUAUUCAAACUCUUGUCUUUUUCCAGGUCCACCUUUGGUCAAACGAACAGUGAUGUUAAUCUUUAUAUUUUUGAUCAAUACAGUGAUGAUCAUUCUUUACUGUUGGACAGUGGAAAAAGAAACAGGUAAGAUAAUAUUUUAAAUAGGGCUGUUAAGUUCAAAUUUUAUCUAAUUAAUUGCAUGAUGUGGUGAUUAAUCGCACAGCAGAUUAGUGCUUUUGAAUUAGUGAUGGGAAGUUCGGUUCUUUUCCGCGAACCGGUUCUUUCGGACAGUUCAAUUCAAUAAACCGGUUGAAAAAAAAAAACGAUUCACCGCAUAGACAGUAAAAGAAAUGGACAGUGACCCUGUUGGAUUCAACGGAGACGAGUGAAGUCAAUUAGAAGCACGCCCUUCUUGGGGGUCGAGUGUACUGUGCAGACUCAAACUGAGCUUGAUGACGUAGAGGUCACGUGAGCAACCUGUCUGACAAUUGUAAGUCUUUUAAUCGCUGUGCCAAGAGAAUUCUGAAUAACACACCAAAUCUUGCAGAGGUUGUUGAACAAUUUUGUCCCGUUGCUUUUAUGGACUCUCUAUAGGCUUCUCCCUUGACUUUAUGCUUCCACGUCCCCCUGAUAGCCUCAUAGAUAGUAAAAGAUUGCCUGCGAGCUUCUCCUCCUGUCCAUA
ensembl:lncRNA